rnacentral:rRNA from 1 species
GAGUUUGAUCAUGGCUCAGGACGAACGCUGGCGGCGUGCUUAACACAUGCAAGUCGGACGGUCUGUAUAUUGAAAGCUUGCUGGAUAUGUACGGAUAGUGGCGGACGGGUGAGUAACGCGUAUGUAACCUACCCUGUACAGGGGGAUAACCCGGAGAAAUUCGGACUAAUAUCCCAUAGAAAUAUUGGAAGGCAUCUUUUGAUAUUUAAAGUUCCGGCGGUACGGGAUGGGCAUGCGUAACAUUAGCUAGUUGGUAAGGUAACGGCUUACCAAGGCUUUGAUGUUUAGGGGUCCUGAGAGGGUGAUCCCCCACACUGGUACUGAGACACGGACCAGACUCCUACGGGAGGCAGCAGUGAGGAAUAUUGGUCAAUGGGCGCAAGCCUGAACCAGCCAUCCCGCGUGCAGGAAGACGGCCCUAUGGGUUGUAAACUGCUUUUCCAGGGGGAGAAACUUGCGCACGUGUUGCGCAAUUGACGGUACCCUGGGAAUAAGCAUCGGCUAACUCCGUGCCAGCAGCCGCGGUCC